rnacentral:rRNA from 1 species
UACGUAGGUGGCAAGCGUUGUCCGGAUUUAUUGGGUUUAAAGGGUGCGUAGGCGGCCCUGUAAGUCAGUGCUGAAAUAUCCCAGCUUAACUGGGAGGGUGGCAUUGAUACUGCGGGGCUAGAGUACAGAUGAGGUAGGCGGAAUUGACGGUGUAGCGGUGAAAUGCUUAGAUAUCGUCAAGAACACCUAUAGCGAAGGCAGCUUACUAGGCUGUAACUGACGCUGAGGUGCGAAAGCGUGGGGAGCAAACAGG